CCUACGGGAGGCUGCAGUGAGGAAUCUUGCUCAAUGGACGAGAGUCUGAACCAGCAAAGUAGCGUGAAGGAUGACUGCCCUCUGGGUUGUAAACUUCUUUUAUAUGGGAAUAAAAUGUUGCACGUGUGUGACUUUGUUUGUACCAUAUGAAUUAGGAUAGGCAAACUCCGUGCCAGCCGCCGCGGUAAUACGGAGGAUCCGUGCGUUAUCCGGAUUUAUUGGGUUUAAAGGGAGCGUAGGUGGAUUGGUAAGUCAGUUGUGAAAGUUUGCGGCUCAACCGGAAAAUUGCAGUUGAAACUGGCAGUCUUGAGUACAGUAGAGGUGAGCGGAAUUCGUGGUGUAGCGGUGAAAUGCUUAGAUAUAACGAAGAACUCCGAUGGCGAAGGCAGCUCACUGGACUGCAACUGACACUGAGGCUCGAAAGUGUGGGUAGCAAACAGGAUUAGAUACCCCUGUAGUC
rnacentral:rRNA from 1 species